GGUUCGAUCCACAAGCUCAGAUUGAACGCUGGCGGGAUGCUACAUGCAAGUCGAACGGCGGCACGGACUUCGGUCUGGUGGCGAGUGGCGAACGGGUGAAGUAAUGUGUGGAACGUGCCCUAGUAGCGAAGGAUAACUACGCGAAAGCGUAGCUAAUACCGCAUACGCCCUUCGGGGGAAAGCGGGGGACCUUCGGGCCUCACUAUUAGAGCGGCCGAUAUCGGAUUAGCAGCUAGUUGGUGGGGGUAACGGCUCACCAAGGCGACGAUGCGUAGCUGGUUUGAAGGGCGACCAGCCACACUGGGACAGACACAGCCCAGACUCUACAGGAGGCAGCAGUGGGGGUACGGACGAUAAAACCUGAUCCCAGCCCAUCCCGCGUGUGCGAUGAAGGCCUUCGGGUUGUAAAGCACUUUUGGCGGGAAAGAAACGGCACGGAUAAUACCCGAUGCAACCUGACAAACACCUGCAGAAUAAGCACCGGCUAACUACGUGCCAGCAGCCGCGGUAAUACGUAGGGUGCAAGCGUUAAUCAGGAAUUACUGGGCGUAAAGCGUGCGCAGGCGGUUCGGAAAGAAGAUGUAGAAAUCCGAGCUUAACUUUGGAACUGCAUUUUUAACUACCGAGCUAGAGUGUGUCAGAGGAGGUGGAAUUCCGCGUCAUAGCAGUGAAAUGCGUAGAUAUGCGGAGGAACACCGAUGGCGAAGGCAGCCUCCUGGGAUAACGCGACUGGCAUAUGCACGAAAGCGUGGAGCAAACAGGAUUAGAUGCCUGGUAGUCCCACGCCCCUAAACGAUGUCAACUAGCUGUUGGGGCCUUUGGGCACUUGGUAGCUGUUGCUGCGUGAGAUUGUGCCUGGGAAAUACGGUCGCAAGAUUAAAACUCAAAGAGAUUGACGGGGACCCGCACAAGCGGUGGAUGAUGUGGUUAAUUCGAUGCAACGCGAAAAACCUUACCUACUUGACAUGUCUGGAAUCCCGAAGAGAUUUGGGAGUGCUCGCAAGAAGAGAACCGGAACACAGGUGCUGCAUGGCGCUCGUCAGCUCGUGUCGUGAGAUGUUGCGGGUUAAGUCCCGCAACAGGCGCAACCCUUGUCAUUAGUUGAUACGAAAGAGGGCACUCUAAUGAGACUGCCGGUGACAAGCCGGAGGAAGGUGGGAUGACGUCAAGUCCUCAUGGCCCUUAUGGGUAGGAAGCUACACGUCAUACAAUGGUCGGGACAGAGGGUCGUAACCCGCGAGGGAGCCAAUCCCAGGAAACCCGAUCAUGGUCCAGAUCGCACGAUCUGCAACUCGACUGCGUGAAGUCGGAAUCGCUAGUAAUCGCGGAUCAGCAUGUCGCAGUGAAUACGUUCCCGGGUCUUGUACACCGCCCGUCACACCAUGGGAGUGGGUUUGCACCAGAAGUAGUUGAAAGCCUAACCGUAAGGAGGCGAUUACCACGGUAGGAUUCAUGACUGGGGUGAAGUCGUAACAAGGUAA
rnacentral:rRNA from 1 species